UGUUGGGAUUAUAGGGGUGAGCCACCCUGCCCAGCCUGCUCCAGCAAAUCUUAAAUAUCCAUGCACACUGAAUAAACAUGCACCUGAAACAGGUGCACGUUUCAGGAAGUGAAUGGAACUCUCCAGGAGAGUUUGGGUCCCAUCAUGUGUACCUUAGAAACAGAAGUCUCAAAAGUCUCAACAACAUCCACAAAAACAUCUGCAUCUGUUUUCCAGAUACUUGCAACCAAAAAUAAAACUUCACAGGAACACUACACAAGAAGUGGUAGACAGCUAAAUCUUCUCCAAACUGAGACCUGGACCAUAAGGUCUUGGUUGUAGCAGGUCUGGCAGGGGUUAUCUAUAAACCUGCACGCAGGGCACUGUGAGCGGGUUGCCAGGGUACAUCUGUGGCCAGGUAAGGGCCACAGAGACAGUCGUGAUCCCCAGCAGCUUCAAAGCUGCAAAAUGCUGGGCUUUUUUUUUUUUUUUUAAGAUGAAGUCUUGCUCUGUUGCCUAGGCUGGAGUGCAGUGGCGUGAUCUCGGCUCACCGCAACCUCCACCUCCCAGGUUCAAGCAAUUCUCCUGCCUCAGCCUCCUGAGUAGCUGGACUACAGGCACCCACCACCAUGCCUGACUAAUUUUUGUAUUUUUAGUAGAGACGGGGGUUUCACCAUGUUGGCCAGGCUGGUCUUGAACUCCUGACCUCAGGUGAUCCAUACUCCUCGGCCUCCCAAAGCGCUGGGAUUACAGGCAUCAGCCACUGCGCCUGGCCUAGGGCUUUCUUUUUUAAAAAACAAGUCCUAACAAAAGGGGGUUUCUACCAGCCCCUGAGCCACACCUUCUGAAACUCCCUUGCCCAGGAUCCCCACAGCUGUCCACCUCGCAAGUCCCACUCUCUGCCCACAGAGACUGCCUAAAAGGAGGACACAACAGAUUUCAGAUAAAAAGCACCUGUGUAUCGUAAAUAUUUCAGGAAAAAGAAUUCAGAUCUUUUCAAAGGCUUGCUUAUUGCUGCUAAUUGUUCCUGAGGAUCUUUCUAAGCAGCAAUAUACUUGAGAAUAUUAGCUGCUACUGUUUGUUUUCCCUCUAAGGUCCUGAGGAAAUCAAAAGAAAAAAAAAAAAACCCUCAAGGGUAUAGCUUUUGUAUAUAGCCCUAGUGAGCAAACUGCAAAUUGGGACAUGCAGUAGAUUCUGGAGCAAUCUCCAAUCCUUACCAGGUACUUCCUGGCAUCAAAUCCCCAGGACAUUUCUUGGCCCCUCCUUGCAUUUUCCGUUUCAAAAUGUUGAGGUUAAAAUACAUCGAAGCACAGAGGGAAGAAAAUCUCAGGUCUUCUAGAAAUGGCGAUGUCUUCAUUUAAAAAUAGGACUGAUGGGGGCUUGGCAGGGGUCUCUAGGAUCCAAAAGAGGUUGAGUUGCAUCCUGCAGCCCAACUGUCCACAUUUAGAAGUGACAACAUUCAUGAACUAAGUCAACAUCCACCAAAAAUAACAUGAAAUAAAGCUCACAGUUUGGGAACAUGAAAAUAACGCACACAGACCUCACCCACCAAUCCCUAAGCUGUGAAAACAAACGCUCGCAUUUAAACUUUUCUCAAAUGUCAAAUUAGCAUAUUCUUCCCCUCCAUGUAAAGUUUUAAUAAACUUGACUCAAUCUGCCUUUAUUAAAAAACCUUACAAAAGAUGUAUUUAAAUGCUUGAAAAAAUUAACUUUAUGCUCUAUGCACAGAUAAAUUUCUCUUACUGUACAACUAAAUAUGGUUAUAUCCUUUGUUUAAAAAAUAUUUUUUCCCCCACUAAUUACACUUCGUGUGUAGUUCCACGUCAAUGAUCUUUCCGCUCUUCUGGGAAUGUGUCCUAAGAGCUGCCGGGUGGGUGGAAAUAGCCCUACACAGCGCCACUUUCUUGCUCAGUCGUGUUUAUUAAGAUUGUUUGGGGUUUGGGGUUUUUUUCCUCCGUUUUCGUUUUCUGAGACAGCGUGCUGGUAACUGUGGACCCGCCCGG
rnacentral:lncRNA from 1 species